rnacentral:rRNA from 1 species
CUGGCGGCGUGGAUAAGACAUGCAAGUCGAACGGGACAACUUUGAUAGCAAUAUUAGAGUUGUUCAGUGGCGUAAGGGUGCGUAACACGUGGGGAAUCUGCCGAGAAGUGGGGGAUAGCUCGCCGAAAGGCGAAUUAAUACCGCAUGUGGUCAGCGAAGACACCUUCGCGAAACCAAAGCCGGGGCAACCUGGCGCUUCUUGAUGACCCCGCGGCCUAUCAGCUAGUUGGUGAGGUAACGGCUCACCAAGGCUAUGACGGGUAGCUGGUCUGAGAGGACGACCAGCCACACUGGAACUGAGACACGGUCCAGACACCUACGGGUGGCAGCAGUCGAGAAUUUUUCUCAAUGGGGGAAACCCUGAAGGAGCGACGCCGCGUGAAGGAUGAAGGUCUUCGGAUUGUAAACUUCUGUCAUUAGGGAACAAGUGCCGGCACGUAACUGCUGCCGGCUUGAUAGUACCUGAAGAGGAAGAGACGGCUAACUCUGUGCCAGCAGCCGCGGUAAUACAGAGGUCUCAAGCGUUGUUCGGAUUCAUUGGGCGUAAAGGGUGCGUAGGUGGUGUCGUAAGUCGGGUGUGAAAUCUCGGGGCUUAACCCCGAAACUGCAUUCGAUACUGCGGUGCUCGAGGACUGGAGAGGAGACUGGAAUUCACGGUGUAGCAGUGAAAUGCGUAGAUAUCGUGAGGA